rnacentral:rRNA from 1 species
CUGCGAAUGGCUCAUUAAAUCAGUUAUCGUUUAUUUGAUAGUACCUUACUACUUGGAUACCUGUGGUAAUUCUAGAGCUAAUACAUGCUAAAAACCCCGACUUCGGAAGGGGUGUAUUUAUUAGAUAAAAAACCAAUGCCCUUCGGGGCUCCUUGGUGAUUCAUAAUAACUUCUCAGAUCGCAUGGCCUUGCGCCGGCGACGGUUCAUUCAAAUUUCUGCCCUAUCAACUUUCGAUGGUAAGGUAUUGGCUUACCAUGGUUUCUACGGGUAACGGGGAAUUAGGGUUCGAUUCCGGAGAGUUAGCCUGAGAAACGGCUAACACAUCCAAGGAAGGCAGCAGGCGCGCAAAUUACCCAAUCCUGAUACAGGGAGGUAGUGACAAUAAAUACUGAUACAGGGCUCUUUUGGGUCUUGUAAUCGGAAUGAGUACAAUUUAAACCUCUUAACGAGGAACAAUUGGAGGGCAAGUCUGGUGCCAGCAGCCGCGGUAAUUCCAGCUCCAAUAGCGUAUAUUAAAGUUGUUGCAGUUAAAAAGCUCGUAGUUGAACCUUUGGCCUGGCUGGCAGGUCCGCCUCACCGCGUGCACUUGUCCGGCCGGGCCUUUUCUUCUGGAGAACCGCAUGCCCUUCACUGGGUGUGUUGGGGACCAGGACUUUUACUUUGAAAAAAUUAGAGUGUUCAAAGCAGGCCUUUGCUCGAAUAUUACAGCAUGGAAUAAUAAAAUAGGACGUGCGGUUCUAUUUUGUUGGUUUCUAGGACCGCCGUAAUGAUUAAUAGGGACAGUCGGGGGCAUCAGUAUUCAAUUGUCAGAGGUGAAAUUCUUGGAUUUAUUGAAGACUAACUACUGCGAAAGCAUUUGCCAAGGAUGUUUUCAUUAAUCAGUGAACGAAAGUUAGGGGAUCGAAGACGAUCAGAUACCGUCGUAGUCUUAACCAUAAACUAUGCCGACUAGGGAUCGGGCGGUGUUAUUAUUUUGACUCGCUCGGCACCUUACGAGAAA